rnacentral:rRNA from 1 species
CCUACGGGAGGCAGCAGUGAGGAAUAUUGGUCAAUGGACGAGAGUCUGAACCAGCCAAGUAGCGUGAAGGAUGACUGCCCUAUGGGUUGUAAACUUCUUUUAUAAAGGAAUAAAACGAGGCACGUGUGCCUUUUUGCAUGUACUUUAUGAAUAAGGAUCGGCUAACUCCGUGCCAGCAGCCGCGGUAAUACGGAGGAUCCGAGCGUUAUCCGGAUUUAUUGGGUUUAAAGGGAGCGUAGAUGGGUUGUUAAGUCAGUUGUGAAAGUUUGCGGCUCAACCGUAAAAUUGCAAUUGAUACUGGCAGUCGUGAGUACAGUUGAGGUGGGCGGAAUUCGUGGUGUAGCGGUGAAAUGCUGAGAUAUAACGAAGAACCCCGAUUGCGAAGGCAGCUUACUAAACUGUGACUGACAUUGAUGCUCGAAAGUGUGGGUAUCAAACAGGAUUAGAUACCCCAGUAGUC